GACGAACGCUGGCGGCGUGCUUAACACAUGCAAGUCGAACGGGCCUUGUCCCCUUUUUUUUUGGGGGUGGGGUUAGUGGCGAACGGGUGAGUAACACGUGAGUAACCUGCCCCUCACUUCUGGAUAACCGCUUGAAAGGGUGGCUAAUACGGGGUGUUCUGGCCUGCUCGCAUGGGUGGGUUUGGAAAGAUUCGACCGGUUUUGGUUGUUUUGGUGGGGGAUGGGCUCGCGGCCUAUCAGCUUGUUGGUGGGGUGAUGGCCUGCCAAGGCUUUGACGGGUAGCCGGCCUGAGAGGGUGGGCGGCCACACUGGGACUGAGACACGGCCCAGACUCCUACGGGAGGCAGCAGUGGGGAAUAUUGCACAAUGGGCGCAAGCCUGAUGCAGCGACGCCGCGUGAGGGAUGGAGGCCUUCGGGUUGUGAACCUCUUUCGCCAGUGAAGAAGGUCCUGCUCUUUGUGGUGGGGUUGACGGUAGCUGGGUUAAUGAAGCGCCGGCUAACUACGUG
rnacentral:rRNA from 1 species